GUGCCAGCCGCCGCGGUAAUACGGAGGGCGCAAGCGUUGUUCGGAAUUACUGGGCGUAAAGCGCGUGUAGGCGGCCAGGUAAGUCGGAUGUGAAAGCCCGGGGCCCAACCCCGGAACUGCACCCGAUACUGCCUGGCUGGAGUCCCGGAGAGGAUGGCGGAAUUUCCGGUGUAGAGGUGAAAUUCGUAGAUAUCGGAAGGAACACCAGUGGCGAAGGCGGCCAUCUGGACGGUGACUGACGCUGAGACGCGAAAGCGUGGGGAGCAAACAGGAUUAGAUACCCUGGUAGUCCACGCCGUAAACGUUGGGUGCUAGACGUCGGGGGUAUUGACCCCUCCGGUGUCGAAGCUAACGCAUUAAGCACCCCGCCUGGGGAGUACGGCCGCAAGGCUAAA
rnacentral:rRNA from 1 species